rnacentral:rRNA from 1 species
UUGGGGUAAGCGCGCGCAGCGGUCUUAAGUUGAUNGAAAGCCCCCGCUNACCGGGAGGGUCAUUGAACUGGGAACUGAGUGCAGAAGNGGAAAGCGAAUUCCACGUGAGCGGUAAAUGCGAGAGAUGUGAGGAACACCAGUGGCGAAGGCGGCUUUCUGGUCUNAACUGACGCUGAGGCGCGAAAGCGUGGGGAGCAAACAGAUUAGAUACCCUGNAGUCCACGCCGUAAACGAUGAGUGCUAAGUGUUAGAGGGUUUCCGCCCUUUAGUGCUGCAGCUAACGCAUUAAGCACUCCGCCUGGGAGACGGCCGCAAGGCUAAACUCAAAGAAUUGACGGGGGCCCGCACAAGCGGUGAGCAUGUGGUUAAUUCGAAGAACGCGAAGAACCUUACCAGGUCUUGACAUCCUCUGACACUCCUAGAGAUAGACUUUCCCCUUCGGGGACAGAGUGACANGGUGGUGCAUGGUUGUCGUCAGCUCGUGUCGUGAGAUGUUGGGUUAAGUCCCGCAACGANGCGCAACCCUUGAUCUUANGUUGCCANGCAUUCAGUUGGGCACUCUAANGGUGNCUGCCGGUACAAACCGANGAANGGUGGGGAUGACGUCAAAUCAUCAUGCCCCUUAUGACCUGGGCUACA